rnacentral:rRNA from 1 species
AACGUAGGUGGCGAGCGUUAUCCGGAUUUACUGGGCGUAAAGGGUGUGCAGGCGGGCUGUUAAGUGGUGCAUGAAAUCUCCGCGCUUAACGUGGAGAGGCUGUGCCAGACUGGCAGUCUAGAGUACGAGAGAGGGUUGUGGAAUUCCGGGUGUAGUGGUGAAAUGCGUAGAUAUCGGAAGGAACAUCAGUGGCGAAAGCGGCUUCCUGGACCAGUACCGACGUUCAGGCACGAAAGCGUGGGGAGCAAACAGG